rnacentral:tRNA from 1 species
AUUAUUGGCAGAUUAUUGCAUUAAAUUUAGAAUUUAAUUUACCAUUUAUU